rnacentral:rRNA from 8 species
AGGUUGACCUCGGAUCAGGUAGGGAUACCCGCUGAACUUAAGCAUAUCAAUAAGCGGAGGAAAAGAAACCAACCGGGAUUGCCUCAGUAACGGCGAGUGAAGCGGCAAGAGCUCAAAUUUGAAAUCUGGCC